rnacentral:misc_RNA from 1 species
AAGUCGUAACAAGGUUUCCGUAGGUGAACCUGCGGAAGGAUCAUUAAUGAAUAACUAUGGUGUAGGUUGUAGCUGGCUCCUCGGAGCAUUGUGCACACCCGCCAUUUUUAUCUUUCCACCUGUGCACCGACUGUAGGUCUGGAUAACUCUCGUCUUGAGACGGACGCGAGGUUUGGCUUCGGCCUCUCCUUGAAUUUCCAGGUCUAUGUCUUUUUACACACCCCAAUAGUAUGACAUUGAAUGUAGUCAAUGGGCUUUGUAGCCUAUAAAACACUAUACAACUUUCAGCAACGGAUCUCUUGGCUCUC